rnacentral:sRNA from 1 species
UCCAUGAGCCCCACUCUACUUACAGAGCAAAGGGAAGGAGAAAUGUCACCCACUCCAUAUGGCCCACCUCCGCCCUAAGCCCUUGAGCUAUGCUCCAACCCACAGGGUCAGCCCCAGCCUCCACCUCUCACAUACUGCUUUUCUUUGCUACUCAUAGGUCUGGAUGUAAAGAACAGCCAACCUUCUCUGGAACUCAUCUUUGUCAAUGAAGACAGGUCCAACGCAGACCUCACCACUCUGAUGCACAACGAGAACCUGAAUGGUGUGCCCUCGAUCACCAGCCCCAUCAAAACUGCAAACCAACACCAGGGCAAGAAGCAACACCCAUCCCAGGAAAAGCCACAAGUCCUGACCCCCAGCCCCAGGAAGCAGAAGCUGAACAGAAAGUACAGGUCCCACCAUGACCAGAUGAUCUGCAAGUGCCUCUCCCUGAGCAUAUCCUACUCCGCUACCAUUGGUGGCCUGACCACCAUCAUCGGCACCUCCACCAGCCUCAUCUUCCUGGAACACUUCAACAA